rnacentral:rRNA from 1 species
GACGAACGCUGGCGGCGUGCUUAACACAUGCAAGUCGAACGGAAAGGCCCUGCUUUUGUGGGGUGCUCGAGUGGCGAACGGGUGAGUAACACGUGAGUAACCUGCCCUUGACUUUGGGAUAACUUCAGGAAACUGGGGCUAAUACCGGAUAGGAGCUCCUGCUGCGUGGUGGGGGUUGGAAAGUUUCGGCGGUUGGGGAUGGACUCGCGGCUUAUCAGCUUGUGGGUGGGGUAGUGGCUUACCAAGGCUUUGACGGGUAGCCGGCCUGAGAGGGUGACCGGCGACAUUGCGACUGAGAUAGGGCGCAGACUGCUACGGGAGGCAGCAGGGGGAAAUAUUGCCCAAUGGGCGGAAGCGUGAUGCAGAGGCGCCGCGUGCGUGAUGACGUCUUUCGGGGUGUAAACCGCUUUCGCCUGAGACGAAGCGUGAGUGACGGUAAUGGGUAAAGAAGCACCGGCUAACUACGUG